rnacentral:sRNA from 1 species
UGAUGUAAGGUUUCCUAGAAAAGAAAACGAUGGUACAAUUAAAUUAGGUAAUAUUAUCCCAAAGAAAGCUAAAAAGCAGUGAAGGGCAAAUACACACACACACACACUACUAUUGCUUGGCUUAGAAAUAGUGUGCACCACUUCUAUAAAGUAUAAUCUCUUAAAAGAAAACAACACUUUGCAUUUAGAAGUUGCCUGAAGUGGACGCUUGGGGGUUCGGUGUUUAGUCAUCGUUAUACUCAGUACAGUUACAACUGUACAUUGUUUUAAUUCUGUAAAUACACGUGUUUUAAUUGACAGUUAGUGGGGAUACCAACUUCGGAAGUACAACCUGACAUUCAGAGUCGUAUUCUACCAUUUUACUUGAAAUCAAAAACAGAAAGAAAACAAGGAAGAACAAUAGCAACUCAUUUCUAAAAACCCACCAUCAUUGUGGUGGAAAACAUUAAAAAUCGAUAAGCUUACAACAAUGAACAUUAAAUAUCAUAAACAAUGAGGAGAGAUAUUGACACGUGUACAGGUGAAGCUUUAUUCAAAUUUUCUAUGACAAACAAAUUUAAUAUAAAAAUCUAAUUUUGACAAACUUUCUUUAAUAACUUAAUUUUCCACUAAUUUUUUUUAUUCAAAUCAAAUUUCGACAAAUACCAUAAUAAUGUUGAGGGAGAAAAGCCGUGCCUAAAGUUUUUUACUCCUUCAUCUCAAUUAAGACUAUCCUUCGCGUAGUCUCCACCGUGGUAGCUAUCUUAAACGGCCGUUUUAAGUACAAAGUGGUUAACCCCAACAAAAUUUGCAAUUUUUGAAACGAAAAUAAUUUUUGAGUUGAGUAUGCAACUUUGAAGUUUAUGGCAAAAGAUGAGGUUUGGCGCUACUCCUGUGCUGUUUCCUCAUAAAACAAGCUCAAAAUCGCAUAAAGAAUUCGUAAAAUCGAUUUAUUUUAGAAAUUUAGCGAAAAAAAUUUUUGAGUUGAGUACGCAGCUUUCAAGUUUAUGGCAAAAAAUGAGUUUGGCGCUACUGCUCUGUUGUUUCCCUCUUGAGGCUCAAGAAGUCAAGACCCAAGAUCGGUUUUUAUGACAGCUAUAUC